ACUGUUGUGGCUGAGCGGUUAAGGCGAUGGACGUAAGAUCCAUUUGACUCAAUUGUCAGCGUGGGUUCAAAUCCUACCAACAGUA